CCCUACACACUUCUAAGGAAGCUUGGAUCUU
rnacentral:piRNA from 1 species